AUGUGUUUUGCAGUGUCCAGAGAGCUGGGCUGGUUGGCUCGAGAGGAGCGAGCCAGGCGUCUUUAUGAGCAGCAGCUGGAGGUGAGGAAGAGGAGGCUACAGGAGCAGAGAGAGAAGGAGGAGAAGCGAAGGACAGCUCUUGAGCGGAGGGAGGAGCUUAAGAAACAGCUUGUGUCCAGAGAGCUGGGCCGGUUGGCUCGAGAGGAGCGGGCCAGGCGUCUCCAUGAACAGCACCUGGAGGAGAGGAAGAGGAGGCUGCAGGAGCAGAGAGAGAAGGAGGAGAGGAGGCGCACUGCCGUGGAGGAGAAGAGGAGGCAGAGGAUGAAGGAGGAGACAGUGAGUUAUUGUGCCUCAGGGGUCAGAUGGAGCAGUAGUUACUUCUGAUUAGGUGUCUAUUGUGGGCAUCAGUGUUGGUUUACAGAAAAUAAAAUGCACUGGUUUAAGUUGAGGGUCGUUAGUACAGGUGGAUGGAUGGUUUCUGUUGGAGCAAGGACUGGAUGGAGGCGGAUAACUAUUUAACAGCUUUAUUGAACAAGCUACAUUGAACAUCAUCAGCCACCGGAACUAGAACUGUCUGUUAGUGAUGGGUUGUUCGCGAACGAGUUAGAGCCGGCUCUUGUAGGUGAAUGUUGGGAGCUGUCUCGCAUAUCAGAAGAGACUAAUCUAUUUAUAAAAAAAUAAAGAUAUGAAUAAUCAAAAGAUUUAAAUGAAUAGAAUUAACUAAUUCAAAGAAUGAAAAAUAAUAAUAAUAUAGGCCUAAAUGCUCAAGCACACACACAUUAGUUCUGACUGUCUUCUCAGACUAACAGCCUCACCUGUUGUUCCUGUCAAUCAGACACGCAGUGUCAACCAAUGAACCAAAGAUGCAUGAGGGAGGGCCGAGCCAACUCACUCACAGUCACAGACUUAGCAGCCGAGGAGAGAGAGGAAGGACAGCUGUGAAAACAACAUCUGAAAAAUUAGUCGGAAGCACAGCAGCAUUUAGAUGCAUUUUAAUAAUGUAGACAAUGUUAGAGCACAGUGUAGAAUUUGCCAAAACAAAAUCUCAUAUAAAGCUGGUUCUACACACAACGUACACCGGCAUAUGCGAACUGUGCACCCAACUGUGAAGCUAGCUGUAGCGGAGAAACUAGUGGGCCUGCUAGUGAUAGUGGUGGAGCCAGCAUCUCGUAUCCACUCAGUCAAGUAGGCCUACUCCGGGACCCACAGCAAUGCAGUCUUCUAUGGACCAGUUUAUGCCAAAGACUAUGUCUGUAGCAAAACAAGGCCAAAUUGAUAUUGCAUUGGCUAAAAGGAUUGUCACCGAUUUCCAGUCUGAACUACAAGGUGGAAUUCAGCAUUUUAUAUGUUGAAGCGGUUUCUUGAGUCAAAGGAUCUCUACCCUGGCCAUUGUCAAUGCACCUGUUGAUGCUCUGACCCAAGAGGAAUGGGAGGUGGUGGAGGAGGUGUGCAGAGUCCUGGAACCCUUUGAGCAGGUCACUGUGGAGAUUAGUGGAGAGAGGUACAGUAAGCAGUUAUUACUACAUCAUUAUUUAAUCCAGUAUUAUAUAUGUAUAUGAGCAGUAGAUGAGAAUGUAGUAUCAGUAGACAAAACAUGAACCUAAACUAAUAAGUUACUGUUCUCUCUUUUCAGCUAUGUGACAGCCUCAAAAAUGAUACUCCUGUGUCAGGGUCUGCAGUGAAUCACAGCCAGCCGCCAGAGAGAAGCAAAUGUAACCUCAGGACAUGUGACAGACUUGAUGGACACCCUAUGUUCAUCAAUAGACAGAAAGAAAUCUCUCAUAAAAGCUAAAUAUGGUCAGCAUUGCUGUGUGCUGCUGGUUAUAACAUGGCAAUAAAGAAGAGCGCGAAAAGAGGGACCAGUUUAAUGUUUUAAGUGGGAUGCUGCAGUUUUGCACCUAAUUUAUUUGUCUGUGAUAUGGUGCAAUAUUCUAUUAUGCUGUUCAGAUUGUAUUCGUUUUGAAUGUUUAGAUUUAUAUGCACUUUGUUUAUAUACAUUAAAAAGUUAUACUUUAAAUGCAAAUGUUUAAUAGCAUUCUUUUUCAUAACAAACCAAUGCAUUUUUAAAUACAUUGUGGUUAAGGUAGAGUAGAGAUUUAAUUUAAUAAUUUAAUUAGAAUUGUUUUAACACCAAUCAUAGUCAAACUAUCGCAAACUGUUUUAUUUGAAAAAAUACAAAACAUUUUUUUUUUUUUAAAGAGCCGUUUGGGAGCCAAAAGAGCCGGCUCUUUUUGGUGAGCUGAGCCGAACGGGCCGGCUCACUGAAAAGAACCGGAAUGCCCAUCACUGCUGUCUGUUACUUCCUGUAUCAAUAAAGCUUAACCCCACACAAUUAAAGAAUUGGCCAAUAGGAAAAUAAAUAUUUAGUUACCAGGUAAAGAAAUAGGUAAACGGUUAUUUCCUGUAACACAGAUUCACAACACAUCAGCAACGUCUAUAACUGCCCUAUAAAUAAAAUUAUUACCCAGGAAAUAAUCCAGAAAACAGAUACAGUUUUCAACGUUUCGUGUUUCUAUCUGAAGCUAAACAGUUGUAAGGCUCAAUACGAUGUAAUGGAUCUUGGACUAAGUUACUGAAUAGCGUGUCUUGCUCGCCAAACUCAUACAGUGGAUGUGAGAAGAGACUACUGUAUCACUGACAAUGAGGUUUGUUGUUGUCUGAAGGAGCGCUAUGAGUCUGUGGUGAAGAAGACCUUAGAGAAGUGCCAGAGGGCCAAACAGAGACUGAGCCAGGGCUCUCGAGGAAGGAAGACCAACAACAAGAGCGGUAAAUGAGUAAAGAAUAUGUUUCAAAUGGCGCCCUAUAUCCUAUUUGGUGCACUACUUUUGAGUGUCUGUUUGACUUUGCUUCAUCUUCUUAACCCUUCAGCUACCGAGCUUUAUUCUUUCACCCUGUAACAUCUUUAGACCUUAACUUUUGUCCGAUUUCCUACCCUUUCUUACUUGUAAUUGUCUAUCUCUGUCUUGUAUUUUCUAUGCUAUUUUUUCUCUGUCCUUGUGCGUUGUCUUUUCUCCACUGUGCUUGUCUCUGCUGUAGUUCCUCGCAGCUCUCCCCUGACUGCCUGGGAGAGGGCUCUGGUCUGUCGCCUCCUAACCCCUACAUGCUCCUACCUAGCCAGGAGAAGGAGUCAUAGUUGUCAGUCAAGAGAAGAGGAAGGUACUUCCAAAAGCCUGUAGAAUAACAGUUAUACACUGAGUGUUCAAAAUAUUAGGAACACCUGCUCUUUCCAUGACAUAGACUGACCCUUAUUGAUGUCACUUGUUGAAUCCACUUCAAAUGAGUGUAGAUGAAUGGGACGAGACAGGUUAAAUAAGGAUUUUUAAGCCUUGAGACAAUUGAGACAUGGAUUGUGUGUGUGUGUCAUUCAGAGGGUGAAUGGGAAAGACAAAAGAUCCAAGUGCCUUUGAACGGGGUAGGUGCCAGGAGCACUGGUUUGUGUCAAGAACUGCACCGUUGCUGGGUUUUCCACGCUCAACAGUUUCCCGUCUGUAUCAAGAAUGUUGCACCACCCAAUAGACAUCCAGCCAACUUGACACAACUGUGGGAAGCUUUGGAGUCAACAUGGUGGAGCCAGCAUGUUGGACGCUUUCAACACCAUGUAGAGUCCAUGUCCUGACAUAUUGAGGCUGUUCUGAGGGCUUAAAGGGGGUGCAACUCAAUAUUAGGAAGGUGUUUCUAAUGUUUGGUAUACAUAGACAUUUUAUUAGUUAAGUUAGUAGUCAGUUAUUAACAAAUUCUUAUUUUCAAUGCUGGCCUAGGAACAGUAGGUUAACUGCCUGUUCAGGGGCAGAACAACAGAUUUGUACCUUGUCAGCUCGGGGAUUUGAACUUGCAACCUUUCGGUUACUAGUCCAACACUCUAACCACUAGGCUACCCUGCCGCCCCACAUGUAUAAAGACCAAAUCAAAUCAGAUGUAUUUAUAAAGACCUUCUUACAUCAGCUGAUAUCUCAAAGUGCUGUACAGAAACCCCAAACAGCAGGCAAUGCAGGUGUAGAAGACCAGAUCUCAAUCCAAGAAAAAGGAGAGAUCAGUAUCAAUAAAGUGUAUUUGGUUAAAUUAAUUGAUUUUAGGGGAAUUUACAUUCCAAUAUGGAUUUGGACAAUGCUUACUUAAUUACUUAUUUGCUGACUCUCUGCUUCCUUUCCUCUCCUUUUUCAACCAUUGUUGGGCACACUCACAUUCUUUCACUGAAUCCCUUGCUAACCGU
ensembl:lncRNA